AGGGCCUCCUGAAUAACAUCCUUCCUUGAAGCCUACCACUGAAAUGGAAGAUCCUGUUGUGAAAGAAGCAGUACAAAGAAAGAAUGUACAGACAUCGAGAGCAGUACCCUUUGGAAAUCCUUAACUAUAUUGUGAUGCUCAGAAAUAAUAUGCAGAAUUUGUGUCUUAAAAUGGAAGGUGAGUGGUUCUACACUUUACAUAUCUUUCUGCCACUUUCUUUUGUGUACUUUGUAUUCUAUUUUCCAGAUGUAUCCACAUUGAUACGAUUAGCUCUGGUUUAAUUCAGUUUUA